CCUACGGGCGGCAGCAGUGGGGAAUAUUGCACAAUGGGCGCAAGCCUGAUGCAGCCAUGCCGCGUGCGUGAAGAAGGCCUUCGGGUUGUAAAGCACUUUCAGCGGGGAGGAAGGCGGUGAGGUUAAUAACCUCAUCGAUUGACGUUACCCGCAGAAGAAGCACCGGCUAACUCCGUGCCAGCAGCCGCGGUAAUACGGAGGGUGCAAGCGUUAAUCGGAAUUACUGGGCGUAAAGCGCACGCAGGCGGUCUGUCAAGUCGGAUGUGAAAUCCCCGGGCUCAACCUGGGAACUGCAUUCGAAACUGGCAGGCUAGAGUCUUGUAGAGGGGGGUAGAAUUCCAGGUGUAGCGGUGAAAUGCGUAGAGAUCUGGAGGAAUACCGGUGGCGAAGGCGGCCCCCUGGACAAAGACUGACGCUCAGGUGCGAAAGCGUGGGGAGCAAACAGGAUUAGAUACCCGUGUAGUC
rnacentral:rRNA from 1 species